rnacentral:lncRNA from 1 species
GGCGGCUACUGAGAGCGUGCGUGCGCGUGUCCCCCUCACUCCACGCACUGCCCGCACCGCGCGUGCGCACGCACGUCCCCACGCUCGUGGGUGAAGGCCAGUCACCCACGCAGUGGCCUGCAGUCUCUCAAGCCAGAUGCCCUCCCGUCUCCCCCGGGGGGAGCCAGCUGUCCUUCCUGCGAGGUCAUCUCACGUGGGCACAAAACUGCCCGGUUUCCACCGUCACCUCGGCUGUGGUGACAGCACCGAUCCGUGGGACACGGCCGCCGGCGUGUGCAGUGUCUGGUGUCUCAGCAGGCUGCUGUCCAUCUAUCUGUCACGUGGGUGUCUGCCCGGUCGCUGCGGGUCUCCGGGUCGUGUCUGUCUGCGUUGUCUGUGAGUCUGUCUGAGCCUGCCGGUGGAGUGUGUCUGUCUCCCCCUCCCGCGCCCCCGCCGCCUCCC